GAGGGCUUAGCUUAAGUUAAAGUGCCUGCUUUGCGUGCAGUUGAUGUGAGUUAAGUCUUGCAGUCCUUA
rnacentral:tRNA from 3 species